rnacentral:rRNA from 1 species
AUGACCGCGAUGGGGCCACGGCCGAGCCUCGCCAUAUUCAACGCCAUGAUCCUAGGGUUAUGCCACAGGGCGCUCGUCCCUGUAUCUGCAGGAUUGCUUGGUAUCAUGUGGAGGUUCCAUCUAAUCCCUCAUGCGUGCAGCUAUAACAAGGGUCACUGCGUGUUUGGGCGGGCAGGGGAUGCUUUUGAGAUGUUUGACAAAAUGCACAAGUUAGGGUGCGAGCCGACUGUUGUGACGUAUAACAUUUUGGUGAACAUACGGUGCCGUGAUGGGAAUAUUGUUGAGGCAAGGAGGCUGUUCGAUGAGAUGGCGAUGGUGGGGGUCAAAGCAAAUGCAACCACCUUCAAUGUUUUAAUCGAUGGGUAUGCAAAGCCUGGAGAAUGGACGAGGCUGAUGCCGCCUGCAGAGAGA